CAUCACAGUCAGAGUUCUAGCU
rnacentral:miRNA from 4 species